rnacentral:lncRNA from 1 species
CUCAUUAAACUUUUUUAAUGGGUCUCAAAAUUCUGUGACAAAUUUUUGGUCAAGUUGUUUCCAUUAAAAAGUACUGAUUUUAAAAACUAAUAACUUAAAACUGCCACAUGCAAAAAAGAAAACCAAAGUGGUCCACAAAACAUUCUCCUUUCCUUCUGAAGGUUUUACGAUGCAUUGUUAUCAUUAACCAGUCUUUUACUACUAAACUUAAAUGGCCAAUUGAAACAAACAGUUCUGAGACCGUUCUUCCACCACUGAUUAAGAGUGGGGUGGCAGGUAUUAGGGAUAAUAUUCAUUUAGCCAUCUGAGCUUUCUGGGCAGAGUUGGUGACCUUGCCAGCUCCAGCAGCCUUCUUGUCCACUGCUUUGAUGACACCCACCGCAACUGUGUGUCUCAUAUCACGAACAGCAAAGCGACCCAAAGGUGGAUAGUCUGAGAAGCUCUCAGCACACAUGGGCUUGCCAGGAACCAUAUCAACAAUGGCAGCAUCACCGGACUUCAAGAAUUUAGGGCCAUCUUCCAGCUUUUUACCAGAACGGCGAUCAAUCUUUUCCUUCAGCUCAGCAAACUUGCAUGCAAUAUGAGCCGUGUGGCAAUCCAAUACAGGGGCAUAGCCAGCGCUUAUUUGGCCUGGAUGGUUCAGGAUAAUCACCUGAGCAGUGAAGCCAGCUGCUUCCAUUGGUGGGUCAUUUUUGCUGUCACCAGCAACGUUGCCACGACGAACAUCCUUGACAGACACAUUCUUGACAUGGAAGCCCACACUGUCCCCAGGAAGAGCUUCACCCAAAGCUUCAUGGUGCAUUUCGACAGAUUUUACUUCUGUUGUAACGUUGACUGGAGCAAAGGUGACCACCAUACCGGGUUUGAGAAUACCAGUCUCCACUCGGCCAACAGGAACACUACCAAUACCACCAAUUUUGUAGACAUCCUGGAGAGGCAGGCGCAAGGGCUUGUCAGUUGGACGAGUUGGUGGUAGGAUGCAGUCCAGAGCCUCAAGCAGCAUGGUUCCACUGGCAUUGCCAUCCUUACGGGUGACUUUCCAUCCCUUGAACCAAGGCAUGUUAGCACUUGGCUCCAGCAUGUUGUUACCAUUCCAACCAGAAAUUGGCACAAAUGCUACUGUGUCGGGGUUGUAGCCAAUUUUCUUAAUGUAAGUGCUGACUUCCUUAACAAUUUCCUCAUAUCUCUUCUGGCUGUAGGGUGGCUCAGUGGAAUCCAUUUUGUUAACACCAACAAUUAGUUGUUUCACACCCAGUGUGUAAGCCAGAAGGGCAUGCUCUCGGGUCUGCCCAUUCUUAGAGAUACCAGCUUCAAAUUCACCAACACCAGCAGCAACAAUCGGGACAGCACAGUCAGCCUGAGAUGUCCCUGUAAUCAUGUUUUUGAUGAAGUCUCUGUGUCCUGGAGCAUCAGUGAUAGUCACAUAGUACUUGCUGGUCUCAAAUUUCCACAAGGAGAUAUCAAUGGUGAUACCACGUUCACGCUCAGCUUUCAGUUUAUCCAAUGGUUCUUUUGUCGAUGCUACUGCAUUUAUAGAUCAGAUGGCCAGUAGUGGUGGACUUGCCCGAAUCUACGUGUCCAAUGACGACAAUGUUGAUAUGAGUCUUUUCCUUUCCCAUUUUGGCUUUUAGGGGUAGUUUUCAUGACACCUGUGUUCUGGCGGCAAACCCGUUGCG